rnacentral:rRNA from 1 species
UACGUAGGGUCCAAGCGUUGUCCGGAUUUAUUGGGCGUAAAGAGCUCGUAGGCGGUUCGGUAAGUCGGAUGUGAAAACUCAGGGCUCAACCCGGAGACGCCAUCCGAUACUGCUGUGACUUGAGUCUGGUAGGGGAACACGGAAUUCCUGGUGUAGCGGUGAAAUGCGCAGAUAUCAGGAGGAACACCGAUGGCGAAGGCAGCUCGCUGGGACGGUACUGACGCUGAGGCGCGAAAGCGUGGGGAGCAAACAGG